GGCUCGUUGGUCUAGGGGUAUGAUUCUCGCUUAGGGUGCGAGUGGUCCCGGGUUCGAAUCCCGGACGAGCCC
rnacentral:tRNA from 1 species